ACUAGAAUUGAGAAAAAAAAAUAUUAAGAAAAAAUUUAAAAUAUUAUAAAAAAUAAUAAUUUACAAAAAAACCAAUUUAAUGAUUAAAAAUAAAUUUAUGUGACGAUUCAAUUCCAAUAUGUAAAGAGAAGCAUUUGUACUCCAAUAGAUAUAGAAAAGAACAACAACAACAGCAAGAUGCAAUUCUCAUUCUAAAAAAGUUUUCUAAUUUAAUUCGCUAAAAUCAUUUUAUACAUCAGAUCGAUAUACCAUUACGCAUAGAGGUAAUUUCAUUUGAUAUAUUUGUAUUUGGUGUAAAGCUGAAAUUUGAUAAUUUGCAGAGUAAAAUUUUAGUACUCAAAUGGGGUGGGAAAUCAGA